rfam:Ictidomys tridecemlineatus contig015846, whole genome shotgun sequence.
AGGGUUGUGGAUCAGUGGUAGAUUGCUUGCCUACCAUGCUUGAGGCACUGAGUUCGAUUCUUAGCACCUCAU